AUUGAACGCUGGCGGCAGGCCUAACACAUGCAAGUCGAACGGUAACAGGAAGAAGCUUGCUUCUUUGCUGACGAGUGGCGGACGGGUGAGUAAUGUCUGGGAAACUGCCUGAUGGAGGGGGAGAACUGCUGGAAACGGUAGCUAAUACCGCAUAACGUCGCAAGACCAAAGAGGGGGACCUUCGGGCCUCUUGCCAUCGGAUGUGCCCAGAUGGGAGUAGCUGGUAGGUGGGGUAACGGCUCACCGAGGCGACGAUCCCUAGCUGGUCUGAGAGGAUGACCAGCCACACUGGAACUGAGACACGGUCCAGACUCCUACGGGGGGCAGCGGUGGGGAAUAUUGCGCAAUGGGCGCAAGCCUGAUGCAGCCAUGCCGCGUGUAUGAAGAAGGCCUUCGGGUUGUAAAGUACUUUCAGCGGGGAGGAAGGGAGUAAAGUUAAUCCCUUUGCUCAUUGACGUUACCCGCAGAAGAAGCACCGGCUAACUCCGUG
rnacentral:rRNA from 1 species